UCACUGGGUGAGUUUUACUCCACAUUUCAUUUUUGGAACAAAGAAAGAUGACUUGUUCAAAAGGAAGCCCUUACUAAGAAAAAGUGAAAGGCUCUGCAAUUACUUUUGGAAGUGGAGGGUGGAGACGGCGGGGAACAAAUGAACUGGCAAUGACUGUGAACUCUGACAUGAUGGUCUGAUGUCAGCCCAGGUGGAGCUGUGUCAGCCCCUCGAGCCAUCUUUCUUCACUGUUAACAGCGAAAGGGCUUAUGCUGCGUGGGAAGACUUAAUUUCCACUCAAGGAAGAAACUCCUGGAAGAAACCACGAUGGUCUCCACGGGACCUUCAGACGUUCUGACACCUCGCUUAGGAGCCUGGCUAGGAGACAGGACCCAGCCCUGUGUGUUACCUGACAAGGUCCCAGAAGUGACAGAAAAAAAGCUAUGGACAUACUUUUGGCUCAUGAUAAAUAUGGCCAAAUUGCUUUUCAAAAAAGGUGUUGGAGCAAUUGGAUAUCCACAAGCAAAACAGUGAACCUUGAUUUAAAUCUCACGUCUUAUACAAAAAUUAACUCAAAUGGAUCAAAGACUGAAAUGUAAGACAUACAACUAUAAAAUUUUUAGAAAAAAAAAAAAAAAACCCAGGAGAAAAUCAUCAGGACCUAGGGCUAGGCAAAGAGGUCUUAGACUUGACACCAAAAACAUGACCCAGAAAAGGAAAACUUGAUGAAUUGGACCUCAUCAAAAUGUAAAAUGUUUGCUCUUCAAAAGACCCUGUGAAGAAGAUGAAAAGAUAAACUACAGACUGGGAGAAAAUAUCUGCAAACCACAUAUCUGACAAAGGACGUAUGUCUAGAAUAUAUAAAGAGCUCUCAAAACUAGCCAGUGAAAUAACAAGCAAUCCAAUUAGAACUUGGGCAAAAGACAACAUCAGACAUUUCACUGAAGAGUAUAUAUACAUGGUAAAUAAUCACAUGAAAAGAUGUUCAAUGUCAUUAGCCAUCAGGGAAAUGCAAAUUAAAACCACAAUGAGAUAUCACUACACACCUAUCAGAAUAGUUAACAUUAAAAAUAGAGGUAACACCAAAUGCUGGCAAGGAAUUAGAAACGGGACCACUCAUAUAUUGCUGGCGGGUAUGAAAAGUGGUCCAGCCACUCUGAAAAACAGCAGAACAGUUUCUUAUGAAACUGAAUAUACCAUCCAGCUCAGCAAUUGCACUCUUGGGCAUUUAUCCCAGAAAAAUAAAAACAUCUGCUCACCCAAAACCUGUAUGUGAAUAUUCCAAACAACCUUAUUCUAAUAGCCCAAAACUGGAAACAACCAAAAUACACAUCAACGGGUGAAUGGAUAAAGAAACUAUGGUACAUCCAUAUCACGAAAUAGUACUAGGCAAUAAAAAGGAACAAACUACUGAUACACUCAACUACUUGGAUGGAUUUAAAGGGAAUUAUGCUGAGCAGAAAAGAAAAAGCCAGUCUCAGAAGGUUACAUACUGUACGAUGUCAUUUAUAUAACAUUCUUGAAAUGACUAAAUUUUAGAGAUGGAGAACAGAAUAGUGGUUGCCAAGGGAUGUGGUGGGGGAGAGAGGGAGGAACUGCCCUGUAUCUUGACUACCACAGUGUUUCCAUGAAUCUACACAUGUGAUAAAAUGGCACAGAAGUAAACACACACACACACACACACACACACGGCUGCAUGUAAAACUGGUGAAAUCUGAAUAAGGUUGGUGGAUCAUACCAUUGUAAUUUCCUGGUUGUCAAAUUGUACUCUAGUCAUGCAAGAAGGGGAUCAGGACUUCUCUGUAUUAAUUCUUACAACUGCAUGUGAAUCUACAGUUCUAUCAAAACACAAAGUAAAAAACAAACAAACAAAAAAAGUGGGGCUCGCCUUGGAGACCUUUUAUGUUGACAUAAGCAAUAUAUAGGCAUCCCUCUUAGCUUUUGGCCAGCAUUUUGAUGCCCAGGAAAAUCCCACCCUCCUAGCUUUUGGCCAGCAUUUUGAUGCCCAGGAAAACCCCACCCUCCUAGCUUUUGGCCAGCAUUUUGAUGCCCAGGAAAACAAGGAUGGGCAUCGCUCCCAGAGAAUCCUAUCAGGUGUGUCGAGCUGUGUGGCUAGAAGCCAGGGCCACACCCGCUCUGAGCUUCAUCUGCAUUUCAAGUGGGGAGCAACUGAGGAGCCCCCAGGUUGGCAUUUGGAUUGUCUGAUGGGAAGGGAUUGUGCUUGACUAAUUAAAGGCUCUGAGUACUGAAUGAGACGGAGUGUCACUCAAAGACAGAAACCAACAAUUGUGUGUUUUCAAGCAGGGCUCAGUCACAGGGUCUUGUCCUCAGGGGGUGCCCCCUCCGUGGGGCUGAGACUGAAGGAGACUGUGUCGUCCCAGGCAAAGAGGAGAAGAGUGACUUUCGUCCAGAUUACUUGGACCAAAAGAUGGAGUUGGGCACUGAAUAAAUUAUUUGCUCUUGCCUAAAUUUUCUA